rnacentral:snRNA from 1 species
GGAUGUGAGGGCGAUCUGGCUGCGACAUCUGUCACCCCAUUGAUCGCCAGGGUUGAUUCGGCUGAUCUGGCUGGCUAGGCGGGUGUCCCCUUCCUCCCUCACUGCUCCAUGUGCGUCCUUCCCGAAGGUGCGCGCUCGGUGGAAGAGGACGACCAUCCCCGAUAGAGGAGGACCGUUCUUCGGUCAAGGGUGUACGAGUAGCUGCGCUCCCCUGCUAGAACCUCCAAACAAGCUCUCAAGAAUGGUGGAAGAAAUUGCUGUUUUUCUAAUCAUGUUUAUGACAAAUAUUGCUCUGCUCCCAUUCCUUCAAGAAUACACUGAAGAACAGAGGGUGAUCAUUU